GGAAGUAAAAGUCGCAACAAGGUUUCCGUAGGUGAACCUGCGGAAGGAUCAUUAGCGAGUAAAGUCCUUCGGGACUUUCUUAUCCAAACACCUGUGAAAAUUAAUUUUUGCUUUGGGAAUUUAAUUAUUCCCAACAAUCAAAACCACUAAGUUGUCUUUUGUCUGAAUGAUUUUUUAAAAAUCAAAACUUUCAACAACGGAUCUCUUGGUUCUC
rnacentral:misc_RNA from 1 species